GAUGAACGCUGGCGGCGUGCCUAAUACAUGCAAGUCGAGCGAAUGGAUUAAGAGCUUGCUCUUAUGAAGUUAGCGGCGGACGGGUGAGUAACACGUGGGUAACCUGCCCAUAAUACUGGGAUAACUCCGGGAAACCGGGGCUAAUACCGGAUAACAUUUUGAACCGCAUGGUUCGAAAUUGAAAGGCGGCUUCGGCUGUCACUUAUGGAUGGACCCGCGUCGCAUUAGCUAGUUGGUGAGGUAACGGCUCACCAAGGCAACGAUGCGUAGCCGACCUGAGAGGGUGAUCGGCCACACUGGGACUGAGACACGGCCCAGACUCCUACGGGAGGCAGCAGUAGGGAAUCUUCUGCAAUGGACGAAAGUCUGACGGAGCAACGCCGCGUGAGUGAUGAAGGCUUUCGGGUCGUAAAACUCUGUUGUUAGGGAAGAACAAGUGCUAGUUGAAUAAGCUGGCACCUUGACGGUACCUAACCAGAAAGCCACGGCUAACUACGUGCCAGCAGCCGCGGUAA
rnacentral:rRNA from 1 species